AGCAGAGCUCAGGCCACAGCACCUGCACCCAUUUUCUGCUGCUGCACACAAGGGCUCUGUGCAUUCCGCAUCCAGAAAAUGAAAGGAGGAUUACUAACUUUAUGCCAUCUUCAAACCAGAAGAUCUUAGAUUGGUAAGAUCAUGUUGGCCAUGGCAUGGAGAAUGGGCUGGAGAUGGAGAGACUGGAGGUUGGAAGUCCAGUUAGGAGAUUGCUCCUGCGCUGGGGAGUUGGUGUUAGGACAGAAGAUCCAAGACGCAUUUCAGAGGUAACUGCCGAAUCUUACUGGCUGGUUCGCUGUGUGUUUGGGAGUGGGGGUGGAUCAGGAAGAAAUGGGAUAUUUCAGGACUGGCUGCUGGAGGCUGCUUACGAUGUAACGUGGAGCUGGGCUUCCUGCCUGUUCUGUCGCUUCCUGCCACAUUCCAGGCUGCAUCUGUGUGGCUGGGCCCUCUGGGAAGGUCAUAGGGAGUCCUAAUGGGGCAAUGAGCUUCCCAGCUGUUCCCUUGAAGGUCCCCUGCAGAUAUCUGGAUGAAACUCUUGACUGCUGGAAACUUUCAAGAAGGCCUGAGGCGGUCAGAAGCCAAGUUGUGGUUCCAAAAUUUCCGGCCUAUUCACCAAGCCUCCCUGAUGAUGAGAUCUCAAGAUAGAACAAAAACAAGACAACUGGGUGCAAAACGCAGGGUGGAACUGUUGAUAUCCCAGUGUUUCCUGCGAAGUCCUGGCUAAGGAACACAGGGAGGGAAAGGGGACCUAACAGAAGUCAUAGAGCCCAGUCCCUGCCUCCACAAAGGCUUUCCAGGUCAUCCAAACUACGAAAAUUGAACAGAGAGCUAAAUCUCUCAGAUUCUCCAAAGGGGGGAAUCUCUGAUUCUUUUCUUUAAUCAGUCUGCGGUAAGUCCUGAGUACUGACUUUUUUCCCCCUUAGUGUACAACCAGGGUUGAGAACUGAGGGCUACACAAUCUCAGAGACGAUCAGAAUUCAAAGUUAGGAAUGUGCUGGCUCCACGUCUGUCCACUCUUGUGCAGUAACACAGCUGCCUGCCUGUGUACAGGAUGAAAUAUCUUCAGUUCUGUUCCCUGGGAUAGACUGACAGCUGUGGAAUCAAUACUGUGUCUUCUCCUAGGCUAUGUUUCUUGACUCCGCUUACGUGGUUACUGCCAAACCUGGCCCCAGUGCCUUCUUCACACAGCUUUGACAACCAGGGCAAUAUUUCCAGUCAUCUAACAGAAGCUGCUCCUUCUCAGUGAUGUCUUUGGAAAAUUACCAGCAAUUACUAAGCUAGCUAUUGGGAAAUCUUAGGGAUUUACUUUAGCAAGAAUAAAAUGAGGUCUUCUGGUCUGUUAGGACCUCUGUUCCUAAAAUCACAGAACCACCUCUGUGCUCUACAAUGGAAUAGUAUGCAUUCAUUUGCAAGCGUGCUCAGAUAAGACAGCGUCUUUAGGGAGUUUUUAAAAACUUGGGGGAUAGUGCUUAUGAUAUCAUGAAAAAACACAAACACUGUGUAAUUUCAUGUACAUUAAAAAUAGGUGUGAUCAAGUGAAAAGAGACUUUUUACCCUGCCUUCCCCAAGAUCCCACACCCACCCCUAUUUCCCUUCCAAGUGAUUAAAGGAGUCGGUAAC
ensembl:lncRNA